UCGUGUCGUGAGAUGUUGGGUUAAGUCCCGCAACGAGCGCAACCCUCGACCUUAGUUGCCAGCAUUCAGUUGGGCACUCUAAGGUGACUGCCGGCUAAAAGUCGGAGGAAGGUGGGGAUGACGUCAAAUCAUCAUGCCCCUUAUGACCUGGGCUACACACGUGCUACAAUGGGCGGUACAAAGGGUCGCGAACCCGCGAGGGGGAGCCAAUCCCAAAAAGCCGCUCUCAGUUCGGAUUGCAGGCUGCAACUCGCCUGCAUGAAGCCGGAAUCGCUAGUAAUCGCGGAUCAGCAUGCCGCGGUGAAUACGUUCCCGGGCCUU
rnacentral:rRNA from 1 species